rnacentral:lncRNA from 1 species
GUUAAAUUCAAACACCCUGGGUUUGGUUUUUGCUGGUGGGGGUGGAGUGGAGUUCCUGGAGAAGCAAAGCAGUCCUAAAUCACCGAGUUGAUGGGUCUUUUGGGUGUUCCCACCAGUCCUUACUGAUCUCUACAAAAUCCCAAGUUACCAAGCUCUUCAACAAAUAGAAGACAGCUGUCAAACACCAUGGGCUACAGAUACAACGGGCAUAUUCGCCAUCUUUCAGAAGAGUGAUAGCAAAUGACUUAAUUUGGAAGAUUCACUCAAGAUCCAAUUUGAUUCAUCGCGGACAUGCCUGCACCUAAGUUCCUGGGGCCAAAGCGAGGAGG